AUUGAACGCUGGCGGCAGGCCUAACACAUGCAAGUCGGACGGUAGCACAGAGAGCUUGCUCUUGGGUGACGAGUGGCGGACGGGUGAGUAAUGUCUGGGGAUCUGCCCGAUAGAGGGGGAUAACCACUGGAAACGGUGGCUAAUACCGCAUAACGUCGCAAGACCAAAGAGGGGGACCUUCGGGCCUCUCACUAUCGGAUGAACCCAGAUGGGAUUAGCUAGUAGGCGGGGUAAUGGCCCACCUAGGCGACGAUCCCUAGCUGGUCUGAGAGGAUGAACAGCCACACUGGAACGGAGACACGGUCCAGACUCCUACGGGAGGCAGCAGUGGGGAAUAUUGCACAAUGGGCGCAAGCCUGAUGCAGCCAUGCCGCGUGUAUGAAGAAGGCCUUCGGGUUGUAAAGUACUUUCAGCGGGGAGGAAGGCGGUGAGGUUAAUAACCUCGCCGAUUGACGUUACCCGCAGAAGAAGCACCGGCUAACUCCGUGCCAGCCGCCGCCGUAA
rnacentral:rRNA from 1 species